AAAGCAGGUCUGCAAUUACAGCACUUGAUUUCUUUAGAGUGCUGUCAUUAAUCCUGCUGAUAGCAACUUCCUGCUGCAGAGCGCUCACUCAUCACUGUGUGUGUGCUGAGGAAGCUCUGUAGCUGAACAUUG